rnacentral:rRNA from 1 species
AGCGAACGCUGGCGGCAGGCUUAACACAUGCAAGUCGAGCGGGCAUCCUUGUGGUGUCAGCGGCAGACGGGUGAGUAACGCGUGGGAACGUGCCCUUCGGUUCGGAAUAACUCAGGGAAACUUGAGCUAAUAACGGAUACGCCCUUUUGGGGAAAGGUUUACUGCCGAAGGAUCGGCCCGCGUCUGAUUAGCUAGUUGGUGAGGUUAUGGCUCACCAAGGCGACGAUCAGUAGCUGGUCUGAGAGGAUGAGCAGCCACACUGAGACUGAGACACGGCCCAGACUCCUACGGGAGGCAGCAGUGGGUAAUAUUGGACAAUGGGGGCAACCCUGAUCCAGCCAUGCCGCGUGAGUGAUGACGGCCUUAGGGUUGUAAAGCUCUUUUCUCCAGGACGAUAAUGACGGUACCGGAGGAAUAAGCCCCGGCUAACUUCGUG